rnacentral:rRNA from 1 species
GAUGAACGCUGGCGGCGUGCCUAAUACAUGCAAGUCGAGCGAACAGACGAGGAGCUUGCUCCUCUGACGUUAGCGGCGGACGGGUGAGUAACACGUGGAUAACCUACCUAUAAGACUGGGAUAACUUCGGGAAACCGGAGCUAAUACCGGAUAAUAUAUUGAACCGCAUGGUUCAAUAGUGAAAGACGGUUUUGCUGUCACUUAUAGAUGGAUCCGCGCCGCAUUAGCUAGUUGGUAAGGUAACGGCUUACCAAGGCAACGAUGCGUAGCUGACCUGAGAGGGUGAUCGGCCACACUGGAACUGAGACACGGUCCAGACUCCUACGGGAGGCAGCAGUAGGGAAUCUUCCGCAAUGGGCGAAAGCCUGACGGAGCAACGCCGCGUGAGUGAUGAAGGUCUUCGGAUCGUAAAGCUCUGUUAUUAGGGAAGAACAAAUGUGUAAGUAACUAUGCACGUCUUGACGGUACCUAAUCAGAAAGCCACGGCUAACUACGUG